rnacentral:lncRNA from 1 species
UUAUGUGAUUUCAUUUCUUCUUCUUUCUUUCCUUUUUUUUUUUUUUUUUAGGAAGGCUCCAUGCAUGGAGCCCAAUGUGAGGCUCAGACUCAUGACCCUGAGGUCAAGACCUAUGCUGAGUAUCAGGAAUCAGGCACUUAACUGACUAAGCCACCCAGGUGCUCCAUGAUUUCAUUCCUAUGAAAUAAUCUGAAGAGGAAAAUCUGGAGACUAUGGACCAGCCACAGGAGACUUCCCUUUUACAACAGAACCAACCACAGGAGAGUUCCCUUUUACAAGGGAGCCAACCACAGGAGACUUCCAGACCAAUUACCAAGGGAUGUUCUGAGAAUCCUACUGCUCUUCACUGUUGGUGGGGACCCACCCUCCCCACAACAGGAGGCACAAACGGCAAUCUGCUAUCACGUGGGAAGAAAGUAUGGUGUUAAAAGCAGGCAGAGAGAAAAGCCAGAGAGGACGAAGAUGGAAGGCAACCUCACUGAGGACUCUGCUGUCCCGCGGGGAGGCGCCCCCCCCCCCCCGUUCCGAAGGGCUUCCAGGGCCAUCAGCUGCCUGAGGUGGGGUGGAGGGCAAGCGCGUUACUGAGGUGUAGGCAGCUGGGGGUUUUGUUAAAGAUCUUUCUAUUGGGGCGCCUGGGUUGCUCAGUGGGUUAAGCCACUGCCUCCGGCUCAGGUCAUGAUCCCAGGGUCCUGGGAUCGAGUCUCGCAUCAGGCUCUCUGCUCAGCGAGGAGCCUGCUUCUUCCUCUCUCUCUCUGCCUGCCUCUCUGCCUACUUGUGAUCUCU